UAAGUCAGAUGUGAAAGCCCCGGGCUUAACCUGGGAACGGCAUCUGAUACUGUUAGGCUAGAGUAGGUGAGAGGAAGGUAGAAUUCCAGGUGUAGCGGUGAAAUGCGUAGAGAUCUGGAGGAAUACCGAUGGCGAAGGCAGCCUUCUGGCAUCAUACUGACACUGAGGUUCGAAAGCGUGGGUAGCAAACAGGAUUAGAUACCCUGGUAGUCCACGCCGUAAACGAUGUCUACUAGUCGUUGGGUCCCUUGAGGACUUAGUGACGCAGCUAACGCAAUAAGUAGACCGCCUGGGGAGUACGGCCGCAAGGUUAAAACUCAAAUGAAUUGACGGGGGCCCGCACAAGCGGUGGAGCAUGUGGUUUAAUUCGAUGCAACGCGAAGAACCUUACCUGGUCUUGACAUAUCUAGAAUCCUGCAGAGAUGCGGGAGUGCCUUCGGGAAUUAGAAUACAGGUGCUGCAUGGCUGUCGUCAGCUCGUGUCGUGAGAUGUUGGGUUAAGUCCCGCAACGAGCGCAACCCUUGUCCUUAGUUACCAGCGGUUUGGCCGGGAACUCUAAGGAUACUGCCAGUGACAAACUGGAGGAAGGCGGGGACGACGUCAAGUCAUCAUGGCCCUUACGACCAGGGCUACACACGUGCUACAAUGGUAGGUACAGAGGGCAGCUACACAGCGAUGUGAUGCGAAUCUCAAAAAGCCUAUCGUAGUCCAGAUUGGAGUCUGCAACUCGACUCCAUGAAGUAGGAAUCGCUAGUAAUCGCGGAUCAGAAUGCCGCGGUGAAUACGUUCCCGGGCCUUGUACACACCGCCCGUCACACCAUGGGAGUUGAUUGCUACCAGAAGUGGUUAGCCUAACCUUUUAGGAAGGCGAUCACCAUAGGAGUGUUUACCGU
rnacentral:rRNA from 1 species